rnacentral:rRNA from 1 species
CCUACGGGGAGCAGCAGUGAGGAAUAUUGGUCAAUGGGCGCGAGCCUGAACCAGCCAAGUAGCGUGAAGGAUGACUGCCCUACGGGUUGUAAACUUCUUUUAUAAAGGAAUAAAGUGAGGCACGUGAGCCUUUUUGUACGUACUUUAUGAAUAAGGAUCGGCUAACUCCGGGCAAGCAGCCGCGGUAAUCCGGAGGAUCCGAUCGUUAUCCGGAUUUAUUGGGUUUAAAGGGAGCGUAGAUGGGUUGUUAAGUCAGUUGUGAAAGUUUGCGGCUCAACCGUAAGAUUGCAAUUGAUACUGGCAGCCUUGAGUACAGUUGAGGUAGGCGGAAUUCGUGGUGUAGCGGUGAAAUGCUUAGAUAUCACGAAGAACUCCGAUUGCGAAGGCAGCCUACUAAACUGCCACUGACAUUGAUGCUCGAAAGUGUGGGUAUCAAACAGGAUUAGAUACCCUAGUAGUC